rnacentral:rRNA from 1 species
UACAGAGGUCCCGAGCGUUGUUCGGAUUCACUGGGCGUAAAGGGUGCGUAGGCGGUGAGGUAAGUCGGAUGUGAAAUCUCCAAGCUCAACUUGGAAAUGGCAUUGGAAACUACCUUGCUGGAGGUUUGGAGGGGGGACUGGAAUUCUCGGUGUAGCAGUGAAAUGCGUAGAUAUCGAGAGGAACACCAGUGGCGAAGGCGAGUCCCUGGACAAAACCUGACACUGAGGCACGAAAGCUAGGGGAGCAAACAGG